rnacentral:rRNA from 1 species
CGUGCAGCUGGGUCUGCAAGUCAGAUGUGAAAUCCAUGGGCUCAACCCAUGAACUGCAUUUGAAACUGUAGAUCUUGAGUGUCGGAGGGGCAAUCGGAAUUCCUAGUGUAGCGGUGAAAUGCGUAGAUAUUAGGAGGAACACCAGUGGCGAAGGCGGAUUGCUGGACGAUAACUGAGGUGAGGCGCGAAAGUGUGGGGAGCAAACA